UACGUAGGUGGCAAGCGUUGUCCGGAAUUACUGGGCGUAAAGGGCGCGUAGGCGGUGCCUCAAGUCAGGCGUGAAAGCCCCGGGCUCAACCUGGGAACCGCGCUUGAGACUGGAGUACUAGAGUUCGGGAGAGGAUGGUGGAAUUCCCAGUGUAGAGGUGAAAUUCGUAGAUAUUGGGAAGAACACCAGUGGCGAAGGCGGCUCACUGGCCCGGUACUGACGCUCAGGUGCGAAAGCGUGGGGAGCAAACGGG
rnacentral:rRNA from 1 species